UACGGGGGGGGGCAAGCGUUGUUCGGAAUUACUGGGCGUAAAGGGCUCGUAGGCGGCCAACUAAGUCAUGCGUGAAAUCCCUCGGCUUAACCGGGGAACUGCGUCUGAUACUGGAUGGCUUGAGUUCGGGAGAGGGAUGCGGAAUUCCAGGUGUAGCGGUGAAAUGCGUAGAUAUCUGGAGGAACACCGGUGGCGAAGGCGGCAUCCUGGACCGAUACUGACGCUGAGGAGCGAAAGCCAGGGGAGCAAAGCGGG
rnacentral:rRNA from 1 species